rnacentral:misc_RNA from 1 species
AAGAAAAGCAACAGUCAAGAGGAAAAGAGAGAACUCCUCUUUACUGCUUAUUGACAGAAUUAUGGAGACAUUCUGUUCAAUGACAAUUUCCCAAAUUUGAUCAGUCCGAGUGUAUAUACAUAUAUAGAUAUAGUUUUCAUGGUGCAGUGACUCUACAUACUUCCCUUCAAGAAUUAAAUGAAACAUGCUAUACAGAUACUCAAGUGACACCUGAUUUUCUAUCUACACGAGGUACACCAUGAUUCCUUUGACACAAUGGGAGGCAUGCUUUACCAUGAGACUUUGCAUUUCAAUUCUCUAAUAUGUCGAGCAUGUUUGCUUGGCUAAACUGCUUGUAAUGUAUGUGCAUACUGUUGCGUGAACAAAUAAACUAAAUUAAGAGUUGAACUAUUCUGGCAUCCAAGUUAUAGAUAAAUAAUUAUGGAAAGAAAAAGGAAUAAAUUAUCCACUUAGCAUAUUUGAGAAUUAAGUUGGAACGAUCUUACAUUUUUCACAUGGUGUAAGAAUCAAGUCGGACCUUAGAGUUCCUUGUUGUCUUGCAUUUGCUCAUGUGAUUCUAAAGGGAUGAGAGAUAAGAUCCGCGACCUACAGAAAAGCAAUCAAUCAAGAUAUGCAACUAGACUAGGCUAACAUGAUAAAUAUUGAAAGUGAAGUGAUGUCAGUUUCUCUGCUGUAAGAACAGAACAAAAACAGAAAGUCCUUGCAUCAUUGCAAAUCGAUGCCAGAGUAUUCCUCAAGUUCCCUGUUAUAUCUUGGAAGAAGUAAUUGAGGUGAACAAUGUUCUACAAUAUUUCUCAAGUUGAAGUGGCAAUGAAAACUUCAUUGCAGAUCCUAAUGAAAGUAUUUGAUCACAUCUCUAGACAAGGUAACAACUGCUGGGACUGCGCUGUCUUCGAUAGACAAAAGUUACAUUUCAGCCUUAAAUGAUGAGCUAAACCAAAAAUUUGGCCCCAGUUAUUUUAAAAAUUUGGCCCUUAUAUUAUCACCUUGUAGUCAUCGAUAAGGCCAAAAUAGUCGCAUAAUCCAACUCCGAAUAGCUAAUGAAGCAAAUAGUUACAGAGCUUAAGAAGAGAGAGAGGAGAAGGGAAGAAGUGAGACACUUGAGCAACUCUAUAUUUUCUCAGUCUAUUCAAAGGUCGGUAUAAUGUAAAUUCAAAGUUUUGGAGAAUCCCGCUAAGCUGAAUGAGAAUGCUGCUCAAACCAAGGUAAGAUCAGAGACAGCUAAUCAACCUCAUCAUUAAGCAAUUAUUAAAAGUUCGUAAGCGUGAAUAUGAAAGUUCAGAGUUGUAAGAUAAUUCAAAAGGCCUUUUUCAUUAGUUUAUUGCAUAAUAUAUGUGUGCUUGAAUGCUAUUUUCUUUUCUACAAAGAGAUGCUGGGAUGUGGAUAGCUUACGAUAAUGUAUCUGCUGCAUAAAAUAUUGGAAGCCUUCCCAACCCUGCACCUUUCCAUUUUCUUCUUUGAGAGGAGACGAGUUGCUCGGCUCCUGAGCUUGUUGCAGUCAAAACAAACAGUGGG